AGUGAACGCCGGCGGUAGGCCUAACACAUGCAAGUCGAACGGCAGCACAGGAGAGCUUGCUCUCUGGGUGGCGAGUGGCGGACGGGUGAGGAAUACAUCGGAAUCUACUCUGUCGUGGGGGAUAACGUAGGGAAACUUACGCUAAUACCGCAUACGACCUACGGGUGAAAGCAGGGGAUCCUCGGACCUUGCGCGAUUGAAUGAGCCGAUGUCGGAUUAGCUAGUUGGCGGGGUAAAGGCCCACCAAGGCGACGAUCCGUAGCUGGUCUGAGAGGAGGAUCAGCCACACUGGAACGGAGACACGGUCCAGACUCCUACGGGAGGCAGCAGUGGGGAAUAUUGGACAAUGGGCGCAAGCCUGAUCCAGCCAUACCGCGUGGGUGAAGAAGGCCUUCGGGUUGUAAAGCCCUUUUGUUGGGAAAGAAAUCCAGCUGGCUAAUACCCGGUUGGGAUGACGGUACCCAAAGAAUAAGCACCGGCUAACUUCGUGCCAGCCGCCGCAGUAA
rnacentral:rRNA from 1 species